rnacentral:rRNA from 1 species
AAAUUGAAGAGUUUGAUCAUGGCUCAGAUUGAACGCUGGCGGCAGGCCUAACACAUGCAAGUCGAACGGUAACAGGAAGGAGCUUGCUUCUUUGCUGACGAGUGGCGGACGGGUGAGUAAUGUCUGGGAAACUGCCUGAUGGAGGGGGAUAACUACUGGAAACGGUAGCUAAUACCGCAUAAUGUCGCAAGACCAAAGAGGGGGACCUUCGGGCCUCUUGCCAUCGGAUGUGCCCAGAUGGGAUUAGCUAGUAGGUGGGGUAA